rnacentral:misc_RNA from 1 species
AACGCACAUUGCGCCCCUUGGUAUUCCGAGGGGCAUGCCUGUUCGAGCGUCAUUAUAACCACUCAAGCCUGGCUUGGUAUUGGGGUUCGCGGGUUCGCGGCCCUUAAAAUCAGUGGCGGUGCCGUCUGGCUCUAAGCGUAGUAAAUCUCUCGCUCUGGAGUCCCGGCGGUUGCUUGCCAAAACCCCUUUAUUUCUCAGGUUGACCUCGGAUCAGGUAGGGAUACCCGCUGAACUUAA